rnacentral:rRNA from 1 species
UACAGAGGUCUCAAGCGUUGUUCGGAUUCAUUGGGCGUAAAGGGUGCGUAGGCGGCGCGGUAAGUCGGGUGUGAAAUCUCGGAGGCUUAACUCCGAAACUGCAUUCGAUACUGCCGUGCUUGAGGACUGGAGAGGAGACGUGGAAUUUACGGUGUAGCGGUGAAAUGCGUAGAUAUCGUAAGGAAGACCAGUGGCGAAGGCG